rnacentral:rRNA from 1 species
GGAUUAGAUACCCUGGUAGUCCACGCCGUAAACGAUGUUUGCUAGUUGUCAGGCCCUCAGGGUUUGGUGACGGAGAGAAAUCAUUAAGCAAACCGCCUGGGGAGUACGGCCGCAAGGUUAAAACUCAAAGGAAUUGACGGGGACCCGCACAAGCGGUGGAGCAUGUUGUUUAAUUCGAAACAACGCGAAGAACCUUACCCACUCUUGACAUCCUCCUUGGGACUUGGAGAGAUCCUUGUCUUCGGUUCGGCCGGGGGAGUGACAGGUGCUGCAUGGCCGUCGUCAGCUCGUGUCG